rnacentral:rRNA from 1 species
GACGAACGCUGGCGGCGUGCUUAGCACAUGCAAGUCGUACGAUGAAGCUGGAGCUUGCUCCGGUGGAUUAGUGGCGAACGGGUGAGUAACACGUGAGCAAUCUGCCCUUGACUCUGGAAUAACUGCGGGAAACUGUAGCUAAUACCGGAUACUUUCACUGGAAGGCAUCUUCUGGUGAAGAAAGAAUUUCGGUCAAGGAUGAGCUCGCGGCCUAUCAGCUUGUUGGUGAGGUAACGGCUCACCAAGGCGACGACGGGUAGCCGGCCUGAGAGGGUGACCGGCCACACUGGGACUGAGACACGGCCCAGACUCCUACGGGAGGCAGCAGUGGGGAAUAUUGCACAAUGGGCGCAAGCCUGAUGCAGCAACGCCGCGUGAGGGAUGAAGGCCUUCGGGUUGUAAACCUCUUUUAGCAGGGAAGAAGCGAAAGUGACGGUACCUGCAGAAAAAGCACCGGCUAACUACGUGCCAGCAGCCGCCGUAA